rnacentral:rRNA from 1 species
AUUGAACGCUGGCAGCAUGCCUUACACAUGCAAGUCGAACGGCAGCACGGGAGCAAUCCUGGUGGCGAGUGGCGAACGGGUGAGUAAAGUAUCGGAACGUGCCCAGUCGUGGGGGAUAACGUAGCGAAAGUUACGCUAAUACCGCAUACGAUCUAUGGAUGAAAGCGGGGGAUCGCAAGACCUCGCGCGAUUGGAGCGGCCGAUAUCAGAUUAGGGAGUUGGUGGGGUAAAGGCUCACCAAGCCGACGAUCAGUAGCUGGUCUGAGAGGACGGCCAGACACACUGGGACUGAGGCACGGCCCAGACUCCUACGAGAGGCAGCAGUGGGGAAUUUUGGACAAUGGGCGAAAGCCUGAACCAGCCAUGCCGCGUGCGGGAUGAAGGCCUUCGGGUUGUAAACUGCUUUUGUACGGAACGAAAAGGUUUGGCCUAAUAAGCUGAGCUCAUGACGGUACCGUAAGAAUAAGCACCGGCUAACUACGUGCCAGCCGCCGCCGCCG